AUUGAACGCUGGCGGCAUGCUUUACACAUGCCAGUCGAACGGUAACAGGCCUUCGGGUGCUGACGAGUGGCGAACGGGUGAGUAAUGCAUCGGAACGUGCCCAGAGGUGGGGGAUAACGCAGCGAAAGCUGUGCUAAUACCGCAUGUGAUCUGAGGAUGAAAGCGGGGGACCAGGCAGCAAUGUUUGGCCUCGCGCCUUUGGAGCGGCCGAUGUCAGAUUAGGUAGUUGGUGGGGUAAAGGCCUACCAAGCCGACGAUCUGUAGCUGGUCUGAGAGGACGACCGGCCACACUGGGACUGAGACACGGCCCAGACUCCUACGGGAGGCAGCAGUGGGGAAUUUUGGACAAUGGGCGCAAGCCUGAUCCAGCAAUGCCGCGUGCGGGAAGAAGGCCUUCGGGUUGUAAACCGCUUUUGUACGGAACGAAAAGGCUCUGGCUAAUACCUGGGGCUGAUGACGGUACCGUAAGAAUAAGCACCGGCUAACUACGUG
rnacentral:rRNA from 1 species